GUCAGCCCAGAAUUAGGACCUAAGGUUGGCCCUAUGGGUUCCUGCAGCACAGACGUGCAGCAUGUGCACCCACAUGUACACACAAUCAGGCAUAGCCACAGAGAAUCACACCCUCCCACGCACACCCACACCCACACACCCUCCCACAGGCACACGCGCACCCUCACACUCAUGGUCUCGCCCUCCCACAGGCACACCUACACUCACCCACGCCUACAGGCACACAAGCACACACUCCUUUCCCCCCACAAUCCCUGCACACCCGUGGGCACCUAUGCUCUCGUGUGGUCUGGAUCUGCCCUCUGUGUGCACAGCCUGUGCCUGGCCCAGCGUGAGUGACUCGUGGAUGCUCUGCAGGUGAGACCUGAGGCAGAGCAAUGUCUGGUUCCUGCUGUUUCUUCUGAUGGGCGCGGCGGUGACUGAGGGUGUCCUGCGAGCCGUCGGUGAGCGCUCAGCUGUCCUGGUCUGCAAGUUCCUACUGACAUCACAACCUGCUGCUUCUCUCUGUCCUUAAGGGUCAGAAGAUGGAGAAAAGGUUCAUGUUUCCACCCCUGUAUUCUGUUAGGUUCGGGUUUUUGAGAGAGGCUUGUGGGGAAGGGGCCGUGUCCCCACUCCUUCCUUUCUUCUUGUACACAUAUUUACAUCCACUGAUUGAGUGAUUUACAAUCACUCAACAUGAUUGACGGAACUUCUGGCACUGCGGAAGCUGUGCUAAGGCCUGGGCAUUCAUGGGACAUGGAGCGUGCAAGAGCUGAAGUUUUAAUGACUUGCUUGCAGAAAAAGAUCAAGUUUUACAACAGAAAAUUAUGGGGCAUAAUUUCUAUUGUGGCAAGGGACCAGGGCCGUCUCCUGGAGGAAAUCUGGAGAGAACAUGCCACAGCCAGG
rnacentral:lncRNA from 1 species